GCCCAAAGUUUGCACCAGUUACUCUGCAGGAAUGAAAAGAUGACAAGGAUCCAGAAGAUUGCAGUUUUUGAAGGCUUGUACAUGCUCUUCAGAGAGCUUUUGCCCCAACAUGGAUCUGAACGAGGGGAAAAAGUCAUCAAGGACCUGGAUGUCUUUGAGAAUUCAUUGUACUGCUGGGCAUAUCUUCUUUCAAAAGCAAAGAAACAGGCAUC